GAAUAUUGCACAAUGGGCGCAAGCCUGAUGCAGCAACGCCGCGUGCGCGACGAAGGCCUUCGGGUCGUAAAGCGCUUUUCGGGGAGAUGAGCACGGACAGCAUCCCCGGAAGAAGGAUCGGCUAACUACGUGCCAGCAGCCGCGGUAAAACGUAGGAUCCGAGCGUUAUCCGAAUUCACUGGGCGUAAAGCGCAUGCAGGCGGCCGCACAAGUUGGAUGUGAAAUCUCCCGGCUCAACUGGGAGGGGACGUUCAAAACUGUGCGGCUUGAGGGCGGUAGAGGAAGGUAGAAUUCCCGGUGUAGUGGUGAAAUGCGUAGAUAUCGGGAGGAAUACCCGUGGCGAAGGCGACCUUCUGGACCGCUUCUGACGCUCAGACACGAAAGCGUGGGGAGCAAACAGG
rnacentral:rRNA from 1 species